UGGGGAAUAUUGGACAAUGGGCGAAAGCCUGAUCCAGCCAUGCCGCGUGUGUGAAGAAGGUCUUCGGAUUGUAAAGCACUUUAAGUUGGGAGGAAGGGCAUUAACCUAAUACGUUAGUGUUUUGACGUUACCGACAGAAUAAGCACCGGCUAACUCUGUGCCAGCAGCCGCGGUAAUACAGAGGGUGCAAGCGUUAAUCGGAAUUACUGGGCGUAAAGCGCGCGUAGGUGGUUUGUUAAGUUGGAUGUGAAAUCCCCGGGCUCAACCUGGGAACUGCAUUAAAAACUGACUGACUAGAGUAUGGUAGAGGGUGGUGGAAUUUCCUGUGUAGCGGUGAAAUGCGUAGAUAUAGGAAGGAACACCAGUGGAGAAGGCGACCACCUGGACUAAUACUGACACUGAGGUGCGAAAGCGUGGGGAGCAAACA
rnacentral:rRNA from 1 species